AAAAAAAAAAAAACAAACAACAGUUCAGCUCCUUCCUUUUCUCUGAGAUUGUGUAUAUUCUCAAUAUAGUAUAUUCAUACAUUGAAAAAUAUGCAAAGAAUCUGCUUGGUGAGAAAGUUGCUACUUCCUACCCUCAGCCUGGCUGGCUGCAUGGGCAGAUCAGAAAGAAGACAAGUAUCUUGAAGCAGGACUCCUUAGUUCAGUCCCACCCCCAGCAGAUUUUCAGGGGACACUGAACUAUAGUUAAUAGGGAAGAUAAUGUGACCCAAGGACAGCACAGGAUCAUGGCAACGCUGGUGUGAUGUGAAGAAUGAGUUUGUUCCUCAUAAUUCCUGUGCCAUGUGACAAGGUGGAAGAUGUGCCAGGCAUAACCUUUCCCAAAGAGAAGGACCCGUGGUACCUGGAGGAGGUCGCCCGUCGUUUAUGUUGAAGGCUGUUGCAAAUAUACCAAAGGGAAAGGCCCCAAUUCCAAAGGACAUCUGGAAGCCACCAUCACCAAACCCAAAGCCCUGGAAUCCCUGCAGAGAACAAAGAACAGAAGACAAAACAGGUUGUACUGAAAAAUGGCUGACCUUCACUACAUCCAAGAAGCAAGAGUGGCAGCAGAUGAACAGUUAAGAAACAAGAAACUCAUUUGAAAGUAGGCUUCCUAAAUAAAUACAGAAACCUGGUGGAGCAUGAAGACAUGGAAGUGG